GCUGGACGCGGUGGCUUUUGCCUGUAGUCCCAGAUACUCAGGAGGCUGAGACAGGAGGAUCCCUUGAGUCUAGGAGUUCUGGGUUGUAGUGUGCUAUGCCUAUCAGGUGUCCACACUAAGUUCAGCAUCAAUAUGGUGACCUCCCAGGAGUUGGGGACCACCAGGUUGCCUAAGCAGGGUUGAAUGACCCAGGUCAGAAAUGGAGCAGGUCAAAACUCCCAUGCUGAUCUGUAAUGGGAUCACACCUGUGAAUACCACUGCACUCUAGCCUGGGCAACAUAGCAAGACUCCGUCUCUA
rfam:Otolemur garnettii contig101585, whole genome shotgun sequence.